UAGGGAAUCUUGGACAAUGGGCGAAAGCCUGAUCCAGCCAUGCCGCGUGAGUGAUGAAGGCCUUAGGGUUGUAAAGCUCUUUCGCCAGGGAAGAUAAUGACGGUACCUGGAUAAGAAGCCCCGGCUAACUUCGUGCCAGCAGCCGCGGUAAUACGAAGGGGGCUAGCGUUGUUCGGAAUUACUGGGCGUAAAGCGCACGUAGGCGGUUUUCCAAGUUGGAGGUGAAAUCCCCGGGCUUAACCCGGGAACUGCCUCCAAAACUGAAAGGCUAGAGUCCGAGAGAGGUGAGUGGAAUUUCCAGCGUAGAGGUGAAAUUCGUAGAUAUUGGAAAGAACACCAGUGGCGGAGGCGGCCCACUGGCUCGGUACUGACGCUGAGGUGCGACAGCGUGGGGAGCA
rnacentral:rRNA from 1 species